rnacentral:rRNA from 1 species
UACGUAGGGUGCAAGCGUUAAUCGGAAUUACUGGGCGUAAAGCGUGCGCAGGCGGCUUUGCAAGACAGAUGUGAAAUCCCCGGGCUUAACCUGGGAACUGCAUUUGUGACUGCAAGGCUGGAGUGCGGCAGAGGGGGAUGGAAUUCCGCGUGUAGCAGUGAAAUGCGUAGAUAUGCGGAGGAACCCCGAUGGCGAAGGCAAUCCCCUUGGCCUGCAAUGACGCUCGUGCACGAAAGCGUGGGGAGCAAACAGG